CUGGGGACCAUUACCACUGGUCACAUGACUCAGCUAAAAGAAGCAAACCAAACCAAGAGGAGGCUUUAGUGAGGAGGUGAAUACUUUCAUUAAAAACCAAUAAGAAGGUUUGCCUCAGUGAGAAACUUACCACAGGAAGAUCUUUUCCAGCUGAGUCUGAGAAGAAUAGACAGAUGGACAAGCAGAGACCCAGAAGAAUUAAAUAUCUUGCCCAAGAAGUAUACUUGGAAGGAAAACUCUUAAGAGUUUAGUCUACCUGUUCAACCUUGUGCUUUUCAAACUUCAAGAAGAUUCUGUUGCUUCAUUCCCUAAGAAGAGAACAAAAAUGGAUCCAAUAGAAAUGCUUUUGGAUGACUUUGCCUGAACACAUCCCAUAACGGGGUAUCUCAAAUAUGACUCAGGAGGAGGUAACACUUCCAGUCACCCUUCCCCUAGCAUUUGUCAGCAAGCUGGGAUUGGAAGAUAGAGGAGAAACAGGAAAAGAAAAGAAGAGAUGUAUGUGUCCCUCCAUGAGCCCUAAUGAUGCAUGUGACAAAUUGCAGGGAUCUCCAAACCAGACUUGAUGCUUGCAACAGACAUUUAGUUAGAAUGAACCAAACCAGAUUUUACAGUGUGUGUAUAUUAGAUUGGAUGUAGUUUUUAUUGGUGAUGAAAGACAGUGUUUUCUUUCCCCAUAAGUGUUUUCUGGCAGAUGGGACACUGUGAAUCUUCUGAAGGGGUUACAAGGGGGAAGAUAAGUCUUUCUCAUGAAGCAGUCAACCACACCAGUUAGAAGUAAAUCCUUUCGUUGUGCAUUCCUUAAAACAGAGCCACUCACGAAUAAUUUAUUUGUUCUAUUGCUAAUGUCCUUAA